CGGGUGAGUAACGCGUGAGCAACCUGCCUAUGACAGUGGGAUAGCCUCGGGAAACCUGGAUUAAUACCGCAUAAAAUCGUAGAAACACAUGUUUUAACGGUCAAAGAUUUAUCGGUCAUAGAUGGGCUCGCGUCUGAUUAGCUAGUUGGUGAGAUAACAGCCCACCAAGGCGACGAUCAGUAGCCGGUCUGAGAGGAUGAACGGCCACAUUGGAACUGAGACACGGUCCAA
rnacentral:rRNA from 1 species